rnacentral:rRNA from 1 species
CACGUAGGGGGCAAGCGUUGUCCGGAUUUAUUGGGCGUAAAGAGCUCGUAGGCGGCUCAGUAAGUCAGGUGUGAAACCUCCAGGCUCAACCUGGAGACGCCACCUGAUACUGCUGUGGCUAGAGUCCGGUAGGGGAGCGUGGAAUUCCUGGUGUAGCGGUGAAAUGCGCAGAUAUCAGGAGGAACACCAGUGGCGAAGGCGGCUCACUGGCCCGGUACUGACGCUGGAGGUGACGAAAGCGUGGGGAGCAAACAGG